rnacentral:misc_RNA from 1 species
GUUGAUUUCUGGGAUCUUUAUGGGGGUUAUCUUUGGGAUUGCAUUGAUGGCCGGAUGGCAGCACAUGAUGAGGCACAGAAGCACCAAAAGAGUUGCGAAGGCUGCUGAUAUGAAAAUUCUCGGUUCUCUCAGUAGAGAUGAUUUAAAGAAACUAUGUGGGGAUAAUUUUCCUGAAUGGAUCUCCUUCCCUGUUUAUGAGCAGGUGAAAUGGCUUAACA